CACAACUUGAGACUUACAGAUCAUGAUGAUGACCUAGAUGAUUCUCCUUUCAUGAAUAAUUACAUUGAGUUUGCUGAUAUAAGUAACCUUCCAACCUGCCUUCUUUCCACCAGAGCAUAUUUGCUGAGCACAUUCCACUCUGGUCUUCCAAGACUGAGCAGGCAACUCAGCAGCAGGCUCCUGCCAGCUACAGAGGUUUUCUUGCUCCCUGAAAAUGUAUAUCAGAAUCAUCCACAAUGUUUAUUUGGAAUACCACUGUGUGCUUGGAACUGGGUAGGUGUAUGGUAGGGGAGCAUCAAUAUGUCAGGUAAUUCCUGCCUUAUAAUCAAUCUAAAGCUGGCAAGAUCCUUUAGAUUUUUGCUAAAGCUGGCAAGACUGGUUUCAUUUCACAGUGGCAAACAAAAGGCAAAGGGAAUCUAUGUGCGAAAUAGUGGCUUCCUCCCCAAGUACCAGCCAGUGCCCUUCCAAUGACUUUGCUAGGCAUGACUCCAGUCAAACCCAGAGGGACAUUUGAUUUUGAUUUCUAAUGCUUCUUCUGUGUUGCCAUAUUCCUGAUCAAUCUAACCCUAGUGACAGAUUGUAUUAGUCUGUUUUCACACUGCUAAUAAAGACAUACCUGAGACUAGGUAAUUAUAAAGAAAAAUAGGUUUAAUGGACUCACAGUUCCACAUGGCUGGGGAGCCCUCACAAUCAUGGC
rnacentral:lncRNA from 1 species